CAAACACCCAACUGAGUGGAAAACGUGGUUACAAUUUCAAAAUCCAUUUAUCAUCUCUUUUCAACAACUAAGAUCCCUUGAAGCUGUCCUCAGACAACCAUCACCUCUGGAUGUUCUACCACCACCAGACCUGCAGUAAUUCAGCUGAGUGUUUUUACAGGAGUUCAUCGUUGGUGCUGUUGUGGGGAAAUGACAUAGGCCUCUCCCUCUCCAGCACACAACUAAGAUCUGCAGCUUCUAGUGAACCGUCUAAGAGGAAGACAAUUAACAAAGUCAGAUAUGGCAACUGCUGGAAACAGACGUAGCAAGGAUGUUGACCAUGAUAUGGGACUAAAGUCUUCCUCUGCUCUGAAAAGCCCAACUCCAAGCACGGAAACGAGUACUCAGUCAGACAUUCAUGAUACGGAUUCAAGUGAUGACAGUAUGGAUUCACCACCUUUUAUUGAUGUCUUCAUCAGAUGCUCGAAUCAACCUCAGGUCACUCCAUCAGAACAUCAGCUCAUACAUGAAUGCAUAAAUACAUAAAUGAUCUGAAAACAUUGGCAGAUGAAUUUACAAUGGCAGCUGAAAAGAUCGAAUCGGAGAAAAAUAAAAGAGGGUCUCCUUACAAGAGCAAGGAGGCUGUUGGAGCAUAUGUGGCUGGGGGAGUGUGCGCCACAGUGGGUUUACUUUUAGUCCCCUUGACAGGGUUUGCCUCUAUUGCCGGUGCAGGGGCAGGCAUCACGUUGACUAUUUUGACUGCUGUUAUUCUUUACUUUAGAAUAAUUAUUAAUGACGUCACAAACCAAGAGACCUUGGCGGAUUAGGAGAAAAAGUUUUUGGUCAAGAGUGGACCAAUUGUGGAUCGUCUGCAUCGUAUCGAUGCAGAUAUCAAAGAAUUUGUUACAAUGUCUUCCAUGUCCCGAGCUGGAGAUGAGCCACAUCAGCUUAAGAGAGCAUCUGAACUGAGUGCUAGAAUUCUUAGUGAAGCAGUAGACUUGAAAAGGGAGUUAUCUGUCUUCUCAGGUAUUGUUAGUGAUAUCUUUGGGGAUGUCAGAAAGAUCGGCAGUGGCCGUGAUAUUGGUUCAGAGUUCAUGACAAGUAUCAAGAAAUCAUCUGAAUUGUGUCAGGAGACUAUAAGCAAAUUUGAAAAGAUGAGAGAAGAACUUGAAAAAAAUGUCUGAUUUAAAUUAGGAACAAAAUACAAAUGAAUAAUUUGUUGAAAUGAACCAAUUAGUUGCAAUAAAUCAUUAUCAUUACCUGGCAUGAUCUUGGGUAUCAUCCAGAUCGGUGAGAACAACGAUAAUGAGAGAGUAGGGAUUCAGCUAGGCUCAGUCAGGAAACUAUAGAUGACUAGAACAACUACAUGAGAAAAACAAUGUUAGAAAUGGAAGAAAAUUCUGAAAUUGAGUUAGAUUUUGUUUACUCAGCUUAUCAGCCCUCCAUCAUGCAGUGUAUUAUGUUACCCUAAGGAUAGUGUAAAUAAUUCAGCAUAUUAAUGUUUUAAAAAAUCUAUUUUGUAAAAUGUACUGUAUGUGAUGUUAUAUGAGUGACACAUUUCAAGGUAACUUUUAAUUUGACAUUUUUAUUAAAUGUAUUGAAGUGUAUCAAAAUGUACAGUCAGCUUGAACUAACUUUUGUAAAAUAUACAUGACGCGUGAGUGACAAGUGAACUUUUAAAUUAAUUUAUUUUGACAAAAUAUAUGUACAGUUAACUUGAACUAAAGAAAAAUAAAAUAAAUUCAUAUUUGUUUAACAAA
ensembl:lncRNA